GUGCAAAGAUCAUUGGAGGCAAAUACGCACCAACACAGACUCAUGUGGACAUAACAGAAACUGCAAUUAUGGAGAUAUCUCUUUAUUUCUUCUCGUAGAUACAAGACUCGCACUGCAUCUGAGGAGAAGACCAGAAUGGACUGGUUUGGCUUCAAGGUAGAGUUCCUCUGGGCUUCCAGGAGAGCUGUCUGGUGGGCUAGAUAACUGUCUGCAGGAGCAGAAGAGCAUCACAAGCCUUCCCAUCUUCUGUCUCACACAUGAGGGCACUUCAAAGCUGCUUUCUCUGCCUGUGAUACUUGAGAGACAGCAAGGACAUGGAGUCUGCUGGAUUCCAGGAGAAAAGGUCUGCAGGGCUCCUGGAGGGAAAAUUACCAGGCAGGUAUUUAUGAGAAAAGGUGAUCUGGUUGAAUUCAAGACUGCAUUACAAACUAUAUGCUUAUCUGGUGUCAGUUGUCAGUUUCAUUGAAUUAACUGGAGCAAUGCUGAUUUAUAACUGAGACUUUAGACAAUUCUACAUAAACAGCUCUAAUGAUGCCCCUUUCAAGGCACCAAGAGUCUGUACCAAGAAAUAAAUCUUGAAGAGCUGUAAGUCCUUGCCAACUGACUUCCAAACUCUGUUCUUCUUUGUCACUGUAGAGAAUGUAUGGAGCUUUCCUGAUCCAGAUUCAGCCAAAUCACUUUCCAUUGUUCUCAGCUUUACUGAUGCACCUCCUCCAGCCUGUGCUGAGUCACUGAUCACAAUUAAAAACCAGCUGCAAUCAUAAAGAGAUGGAUAUUCCCACAAGCAACUGCAUCAGGAACCCCAUGGAAAAGGUCCUCAAAACAACAUCCUGUGAUCUCAGGGGCAAGCAAACAGAAGUCUCAGUCCAAUUCUUGAACGUCAACUCUGCCCCUUGUUCCCGGAUCAUUGAGAGCUGCUGGGCUCUUGUUUAUCUCACCUUUGGUCCUGCUCUGUGUUUACAGUUAAGCUGUUCAUUCAAGUGCCAUAUAAGUUUGUUAGGAUUUGCUGAGGGAGCAAAGGUCUUCAAGCAGAAGAUGAGAACAGAGGAAAAACAGCCUCUGGCUACCACGCUUCUCCAGGGCUUGCUUCAGAGAUGUUACUCAAGAUGGGUGGCAGCUAAUAAGUAAGGAAAAAAAAGGAGCGGUAGCGGUAAAUUGGCAAAAUCUGGAGGCCUCCAAGACUCCUCUUUGUGGUUGUUUGUGGUUGUCUUCUCAGUGCCUUUAUGAUGGUGAUGAUGCAUUCAUUGCUGAUUUUCCUUCUAGUAUUUUAUCAGGAAUGGUUUUUAUGGUUGCACUAAAUUCUGAAAUACAGAUGGGGUGACUGCUUCUGCUGCCUCACCCCAGCCCUUCACAUUUACAGUCUUCCAUAUUUGUGUUAUAUCUGUAGUAGAUAAUAUAAACAAAUAAAGUGUCAUGGGGAGAAAGUAUACCUUUUGCU
rnacentral:lncRNA from 1 species